rnacentral:rRNA from 1 species
CAUAGGUUUGGUCCCAGCCUUCCUGUUAACUCUCAACAGACUUACACAUGCAAGCAUCCACGCCCCGGUGAGUAACGCCCUCCAAAUCAAUAAGACUAAGAGGAGCAGGUAUCAAGCACACAUCUUGUAGCUUACAACGCCUCGCUUAACCACACCCCUACGGGAGACAGCAGUGACAAAAAUUAAGCCAUAAACGAAAGUUUGACUAAGCCAUGUUGACCAGGGUUGGUAAAUCUCGUGCCAGCCACCGCGGUCAUACGAUUAACCCAAGCUAACAGGAAUACGGCGUAAAACGUGUUAAAGCACUACAUCAAAUAGGGUUAAAUUCUAAUUAAACUGUAAAAAGCCAUAAUUACAACAAAAAUAGAUGACGAAAGUAACCCUACUGCAGCUGAUACACUAUAGCUAAGACCCAAACUGGGAUUAGAUACCCCACUAUGCUUAGCCCUAAACACAAAUAAUUACAGAAACAAAAUUAUUCGCCAGAGUACUACCGGCAACAGCCCGAAACUCAAAGGACUUGGCGGUGCUUUAUACCCUUCUAGAGGAGCCUGUUCUAUAAUCGAUAA